AUGAUCUUCACUCGCGCCUUUUUUUGCUUGCGCUUGGUCAUACACCCCCUCGUCUAUCUCCUCCACCUCAGCUUCACCACCGUCCAUGCCACCAUCCAUUUCAUUCCAAAUCUCGCUGGUGAGGUCGUCCUCCACACCACGGCCGGCGAUUUCCCCCCACACACGACCACCUCUCAUCCGCAGCUCCAGCUAUUCUCCCAGCGCGCCGUUUCCAGCACCAGCAAUCCCCCAGCUCCGACAGACGAGCUGCAUAGCUUCGACGGCGAGGCACACCCCACGACACAGGGGAUGCUGAAACCGGCGUCUAAUUUUGCUGCAACCGACAAAUCCAGAGCUGGAACCAGCAUCUUGAAAAAAGCUGCAACUGGAUAUGAGGUAGUUGGGGGUCGGCAUCUCGCAGCGACAAAAAGCUGCAACCGGCUUGGAGGAAAGCUACAACGCGCUUCUAAAAAAGCUUCAAACCGAGAACGGCUAGCUAACAAUGGUGAGCGGCGGCGACGGAGCUGCAUGGCGCGCGGUGCUGCGACGGGCACGCGGCGAGCUAUGAUGGCGGACUGCGACAAUGCUGGAACCCUCACCCGGCGGUGCUGCAACCAGAGGGAGGGAGACACGCCCGGCCCGAUGGAGCUGCAUACGGCGAACGCCCCAGGUGAGCUGCAACGGCGAGCAGCCCCGGCGAGCUGCGACGGCGAGCGGCCCCGGAAGAAGAAGCCGGGCGGCGAUUCGUUUUUUUUUUUACCUGGAUCCAACGACCCGCACGGCUCACAUCCAACGCCCGGGCUAGACCGGCCGAAACUUUCGGCCGGCGCACCGGCGCCUAUCAGCGCCCGUAAUAUAUCGCAGCGGACGAGCUUUACACCGUUUCGAGCGCAAGCAUGUCCCGCACGAUUUAUCUACCACUUGUCGAUCCUACAUGCAAGUGGCACCACCACCCCCAACACCCGGCGCCGCCAAUCCUUCUCCCGCUCCCCCUCCGUCGUCCCGUGCUUCCUCUCUUGCUAUAGUCCCCUCAAAAUGUCCCGCAAAAAUGAUGUGUGGUAUCUAUGCAUGUUGCUCAUGUUGGUCAAGUGGGCUUGGAAGAUUCAUGGGAGGAGUUUAGUGACAUCAAUAGGAUGCAUGAGCACCAUAUGCAUUGUCUCUGCCCAGCCCAAUGUGCUUCCAAAAACAAAGCAGACACCCCUCAAGCUGCGCUGCUUCGUCCGCACCUUUGUCGCAGAGAAGUUUCCUCUUCUUCCUGGUGCCCUAGCUCGAGGUAGGGCUGCCGCCUUGCCGCGCCACCGCCGACCCCAGGAGCCCUCACCUGCACCUUGCCGCCUCCGACUCCAACGCGGCAUCGCGUCGCCCCCGCCCGCGGCGAUCUUCUUCGACAUUGGUUCUCGAGGGAAUCCAUUCUGUGGAAGAAGAGCUACCAAUCCCCCAUAUGGAAAGCAUGCCAAUGAUACCCCUUAUGGAAUGGAAGGCCCGCUAAUGAUUCACCACAUCGAAGACUUGCCAUUGAUCCAACACAUAUUAGUUUCUAAAGCAAGAGAAAAUCCUAGUGGAAGUCCAUUUGCUACCAACGCUCCACGAUGUGCUUCUUACGACAGAUAUGCAGUAUCUGCUCGCUUUCCUACUAGAGAAAUACCCUUGCCUGCUUGUCCCAUUGUUCCUAUCGUGACCAUAUGCCUACUGAUAGCUCCUCUAGAGCUGGGAACAAUUCAAGUUUCAUUCUCUUCAGCUGUCAGACAGAUAUAUGGACAUGAUGAUUAUCAUAAGACUGGCAGGCGUUACAAGCGGAGAUCCGCCAGCCAGACCUCUGGUGCAAGAAUGAAGUUACUUGCAGCCCAUUCUGGCUGUCCGCCGGAAUACAUCAUAUGGAGAUUCAACGGUAUUGCCGGACCAAUUGAGAGAGGCACAAAGUCUCUGCAACCAGAACGGGCAGCCAUCACAGCCUUCUCGCGGCGUCCAUUGCCCAAGGUGGAACUACAUCCUAGUCUUGUGGUGGAGAACAACAGAGGAUGCAACUCCGGGAUGCAAGCGCUCUAUACUCGUUGUACAUGGAACCUGGAUGCUUACAAUAUGAGCACGCAAACACAACACCAGGAAUUUUCGUCAUUUCACUGGAGAGAGCCAUGGUGGAAAGCACAAUCAGCACUAGUUCUAUCAAGUAUAUCCGACUUACGGAUCACAUGGACCUUCAACGUGAGACUAAGCGUGUCCGUCAGUUCGAAGAGGCAGAUGUCAUCUUUCUCCAGCCCGACAUCUGAUAUGAAUUUCGCCCACUCAUUGUGGAUCCGCCAAGUCUUUUCAUGUUUCGUGAAGCCCAACCUGCACUUCGAAACCUCCCGUCGCCCUCCAGCAGGAGGUGGAGGCGUCCUGGUUUGGUCAGGAGACACGCCCAAGCGUAAUCCCCGGUCAGUACAAGGGAGGGAUGUUGAAGCCAUCUCCCGAGCCUUGCUAGAUUUUCUCGUGUCUUCUCCCACGACUCCAUCGUCGUCAUCAGAACUGCUCGAGAAGAACUGUAGGGGUGGAUCAUCACACAUCUCUUGGGUGCUAGAACGAUUUCUCAUGGCCCGUCAGGUCGAGGAAGUGAACUCUGAGGCAGCCUUCCCCCUUGCUGAAAAUGAGGAGGUCCUUCUCUUUUAUGCGGUGACUUCCCUAGCCUCCCGGGUCGCUUCAGGCGACUCCGGAGGCACCGUCGCGGCCACCCCGGAGGCCCUCCCACGUAGCGUCGUUCACCACGCCGCGCCGUCCAUGGCUUGCCUCCCGGUCUGGCACAUCCAAAUGGAGUCCAUGGCCUGGAAUGGUCGGCGGCCGUCCAGGCUGCCGCCUAGCUGCAGCACAUGGUCAUGGCUGCUUGGAGUCUUCCUCCGCAGUGGCAUGGCCGGGAAUUGGAUAUGGCGGCGGCCUCGCUGUGGAUUACGGUCCCCAUCAAAAGAUUUUUUUGAGAGUUUCAUCUCCGUAGAUCUGGUGGUUGAUUUCGGCGGCGAGAUACAAACUAUGGAUGAAGUUUAUGCAGAGGGAUGGUUGUGCGGCGGCGGUGGUCACAUCGCAUCACCCGGUCUUGAGAUCCGGGAUGAAAGCCUAGGUCUGACCCAACUUGGGUCUACCUGGCAAUGGCGAUGCUUUUACAUCGUUACCUUGUUGAAGGCAUUGUUCGGAAUGUUCGGACUGAUUCUUCAGGGUGAAAACCUAGAUUGUAGCCUUGGGUGGCUGGAUUCGGUGACGGUGGCACUUGAGUGUCGCUCCCUUCCUGAAGGCGUUGCUGGUGAAGAACCUCGUCGUCAGAGUGGUGUCAUGAGAUGGUCGGUGCAGAUAUGGUCAUUGUUAUAG
rnacentral:rRNA from 1 species